AUUGAACGUUGGCGGCAUGCCUUACACAUGCAAGUCGAACGGCAGCAUGAUCUAGCUUGCUAGAUUGAUGGCGAGUGGCGAACGGGUGAGUAAUACGUCGGAACGUGCCCUGUAGUGGGGGAUAACUAGUCGAAAGAUUAGCUAAUACCGCAUACGACCUGAGGGUGAAAGUGGGGGACCGCAAGGCCUCAUGCUAUAGGAGCGGCCGAUGUCUGAUUAGCUAGUUGGUGAGGUAAAGGCUCACCAAGGCGACGAUCAGUAGCUGGUCUGAGAGGACGAUCAGCCACACUGGGACUGAGACACGGCCCAGACUCCUACGGGAGGCAGCAGUGGGGAAUUUUGGACAAUGGGCGAAAGCCUGAUCCAGCAAUGCCGCGUGUGUGAAGAAGGCCUUCGGGUUGUAAAGCACUUUUGUCCGGAAAGAAAUGGCUCUGGUUAAUACCUGGGGUCGAUGACGGUACCGGAAGAAUAAGGACCGGCUAACUACGUGCCAGCAGCCGCGGUAAUACGUAGGGUCCAAGCGUUAAUCGGAAUUACUGGGCGUAAAGCGUGCGCAGGCGGUUGUGCAAGACCGAUGUGAAAUCCCCGAGCUUAACUUGGGAAUUGCAUUGGUGACUGCACGGCUAGAGUGUGUCAGAGGGGGGUAGAAUUCCACGUGUAGCAGUGAAAUGCGUAGAGAUGUGGAGGAAUACCGAUGGCGAAGGCAGCCCCCUGGGAUAACACUGACGCUCAUG
rnacentral:rRNA from 1 species